UACAGAGGUCUCAAGCGUUGUUCGGAUUCAUUGGGCGUAAAGGGUGCGUAGGUGGCGCCGUAAGUCGGGUGUGAAAUUUCGGAGCUUAACUCCGAAACUGCAUUCGAUACUGCGGUGCUUGAGGACUGGAGAGGAAACUGGAAUUUACGGUGUAGCAGUGAAAUGCGUAGAGAUCGUAAGGAAGACCAGUGGCGAAGGCGAGUUUCUGGACGGGUAACUGACGCGUGAGGCAACGAAG
rnacentral:rRNA from 1 species